GCUUUGCUUUUUAUUUGAAGGAAAAGAGAUUCAGAUUCCUGUCCAGAAUAAAAGUGCAGCUAGAAGAGCACACAUAGAAUCACAGAAUCACAGAAUGACCCGGGUUGGAAGGGACCUCAAGGAUCAUGUAGUUCCAACCCCCCUGCCUAGCAGGGCCACCAAACAUACACCUUUACUAGAUCAGGUUGCCCAGGGACCCUUUCCAAAAUCUCCAUGUCUUUUUUGUACUGAGGGCUCCACACCUGGACACAGUACUCCAGAUGGGGCCUCACAGGGAUGGGGAGCAGAGUAGAGAGGGACAAUCGCCUCCCUGUCCCUGCUGACCACCCCUCUCCUGAUAGAGCCCAGGAUCCCAUUUGCUUUCUGGGCUGCCAGAGCGCACUGCUGGCUCAUGUUGAGUCUUUCAUCCAUCAGGACCCCCAGGUCUUUCUCUGCCGAGCUGCUCUCAAGGACCACUCCUCCCAGCCUGUACAGGUGCCUGGGGUUCUUCCAGCCCAAGUGCAAAACCUUGCACUUUGCUGUGUUGAACCUCAUCAGGUUCACCCGAGCCCAGCUUUCCAGCCUGUCAAGGUCCCUCUGAAUGGCAUCCGUUCCCUCCACCGUAUCGACUGCACCACUCAGCUUUGUGUCAUCAGCAAAAUUGCUGAGGGUGCACUCAAUUCCCUCAUCGAUGUCAUUAAUAAAGAUGUUAAAGAGCACUGGUCCCAAGACAGACCCUUGAGGGACACCGCUUGUUACCUUCCUCCACCUGGACAUAGAGCCAUUGACCACCACCCUCUGUCUGCGGCCUUUCAACCAAUUGCUUAUCCAGCUAGUUGUCCACCCAUCAAAUCCACUUCCCUCCAAUUUGGAGAUGAGGACGAGAUGAGGGACCAUGUCAAAGGCCUUGCUCAGGUCCAGGUAAAUGGCAUAGGUCACCUUCCCUUCGUUCACCAAUACCGUCACUCCAUCAUAGAAGGCCACAAGAUUAGUUAAGCAUGAAUGCACACAUGCUACUUGCCUUAAAAACAAGAAAAGAAUAUUUUGUUC
rnacentral:lncRNA from 1 species